UACGAAGGGGCUAGCGUUGCUCGGAAUCACUGGGCGUAAAGCGCACGUAGGCGGCUUUUAAGUCAGAGGUGAAAUCCUGGAGCUCAACUCCAGAACUGCCUUUGAUACUGGAGAGCUUGAGUCCGGGAGAGGUGAGUGGAACUGCGAGUGUAGAGGUGAAAUUCGUAGAUAUUCGCAAGAACACCAGUGGCGAAGGCGGCUCACUGGCCCGGUACUGACGCUGAGGUGCGAAAGCGUGGGAGCAACAGGG
rnacentral:rRNA from 1 species